rnacentral:rRNA from 1 species
GACGAACGCUGGCGGCGUGCUUAACACAUGCAAGUCGAACGGAAAGGCCCUGCUUGCAGGGUACUCGAGUGGCGAACGGGUGAGUAACACGUGGGUGAUCUGCCCUGCACUUCGGGAUAAGCCUGGGAAACUGGGUCUAAUACCGGAUAGGAGCCAUUUUUAGUGUGAUGGUUGGAAAGUUUUUUCGGUGUAGGAUGAGCUCGCGGCCUAUCAGCUUGUUGGUGGGGUAAUGGCCUACCAAGGCGGCGACGGGUAGCCGGCCUGAGAGGGUGGACGGCCACAUUGGGACUGAGAUACGGCCCAGACGCCUACGGGAGGAAGCAGUGGGGAAUAUUGAACAAUGGGCGCAAGCCUGAUGCAGCGACGCCGCGUGGGGGAUGACGGCCUUCGGGUUGUCAACUCCUUUCGCUAGGGACGAAGCUUUUUGUGACGGUACCUAGAUAAGAAGCACCGGCUAACUACGUG